ensembl:snRNA U6 U6 spliceosomal RNA
GUGCUCCCUUUGGCAGCACAUAUACUAAAAUUGGAAUGAUAAAGAGAAGAUUAGCAUGGCCCCUGCACAAGGAUGACAUGCAAAUUCAUGAAGUGUUCCAUAUUUUU